rnacentral:rRNA from 1 species
UACAGAGGGUGCUAGCGUUGUUCGGAAUCAUUGGGCGUAAAGGGCGUGUAAGCGGUUUUGUUAAGUCAUGUGUGAAAUCCCUCGGCUCAACCGGGGAACGACGCAUGAAACUGGCAGCUAGAGUACCAAAGAGGGUCGCGGAAUUCCCGGUGUAGAGGUGAAAUUCGUAGAUAUCGGGAGGAACACCGGUGGCGAAGGCGGCGACCUGGGUAGAUACUGACGCUGAGGUGCGAAAAGCGUGGGGAGCAAACAGG